rnacentral:pre_miRNA from 1 species
UCUAUGGAUGAGCAAAGAAAAUAGAUUCUUGAGAUGGAAUCUACUCCUGGUGAAAAUGCUACGAA